GGACCCGUGCGCCCUGCCCCAUCCCCCCCGCCUGCCCCCGCUUGUCAUGAGCCAGCUGCAGGGUGGGGUGUAGCGGUCGGGUCUAGCCCAGGUGUGGAAGUGGUUUGUGGGUGUCGCUGGGUUAUUAGCGAGUGGCUGCCCCAGCCCGGGCGACAAACUGCGGGUGUCGGGCGCGUAGUGUAGACGGGGCCAGGGCACCUUUAUCCCAGAAUUGCUGUGGUCUCUCUAGGGGUUGUAUUGGUAUCAGUAAAAAUCAUCUCCCUAACCAACAUAGUCGUAUUGGUACCAAAUCUGUGUGUCGAGCAGGCCUCACUGCAUUACCCGUCAGCACCUACCACACUGCAAAGUGAUGAAAACGCCAAGCCGGGUCUACACUGGGACAUUUUGUUGCCAGAGCUAUGUCGGUCAGGGGUGUGAAAAAACCACCCCCCCUCCAGCCAACAUUGCUAUGCCAGUAACACCCCCAACGUAGAUGCAGCUAUGCCGGCAGAACAGAGCUUCUGUGGGCAGAGUUUACAUCAUUCGGGGAGGUGGUGGUGUUAUACCAUCACAAGGACCCUCCUGUGGGCACAGGCUGUGUCUACACAAGGUGUCUCUGCCUGUAUAGGUGUACUGCUAUAGCUGUACCGGCAAAGCAUGUGUAGUGUUAACCAGCCCAUAGUCUUUAAAGCUAUCCUCUUCUGUUUCAGGUGGCUGUUUUUCAGGCCAGGCAUCCAUUUCCUCUUACAGAUGGAUAUCUUUCCUUGCUGAAGGAGUCAAAAUCAGAAUGGAGGUGCUUGGGCUUAACUGCUGGUGGACAGGAAGUGACAUAUUUCUGGGAUCAGGGGCCAAUCCCAUUUGUCUGGAGCAGGUAAAGCUUAGAUCCUCAGAGAGCCAAGAUGAGAAGAGUGUUUCCCCCUGCCCGGCCAGGAGGGCUAUCAAAAUCAGAUUGGCCAUCAAGGAACAUCGCACUACAAAGGAUUGGUCAUUGGCCUUAUUGCACCUUGGAAAUGCUACCUGCAGGAAAGCUUGUUCUUGGGAAGCUGAAUUAAGGAAAUAAAAGACACAGGAAAAUUUUCCACCUCUUUGCUGUUUGAACUCUCCCAGGGCCAGAGACACCAAACUGAAGCCAGCGAUCUCCAGUGAUGAACGACACUUCGAAUUGACAGAUCACUACAACUCUGUCACUCUUAGGAUUCAGAUUGAAAUUCAUUUGUGUGUAUAUGUUUCCUUGCUUUAACCUGUCAAUAACUCUCCUGUCUUUUUCCUAGUUUAUUACAGGAUUGGCUACAGGCGUUGUCUUUGGUGUGAGAUCUAAAGUGACUGGUCUCUUGGGACCGGAAACAACCCGAAUAUUGUACAAUUUUUGGUGCGUCACCAUUACACAGUCCAGCUUGCCCGGGUGGUAGGACAGAUUGGAGAGUCUUAGAGCAUGUCUACACAGCAAUGACUUUGCCUGCAGCGCAUCCCUGCAGGUCAGUGGGAACCUAUGGCAUUGCCAGGCCUUCUCAGCAGGGAGCUGUGAGGAGUGGGGGGAGAUGUCGUUGGGGUCGUGGUGAGAGAGGGCCUCAUCAUACUUCCAGGGCCAGAUUCGAUAGCCCCUUCUGUCUGCUCUGUGAUGCAAAGAGCCCAGAAAAUGGUCAGAUCUCCCCAAUGGGUGUUGUCCGGACCCUUCCUGCAGCCCCCGUUUCAGGGGCGUUCAGCAGCAUGGGUAGCAAAGCAUGCUGGGUAAACACCUUCUACCAGGGAAGUUGAAUUUGGCACUCCCUCGCCUGCUGUUUCAGGGCUCCUGUCUAGGAAGAUGGUGUGUAGCUGCAAGUCAGUAUUGUCUUUGAACGGAAUUCAUAGCACAAGCUCUUUUCCGUGUACAUCAAGGUGGGGACACUAGAGAGAUGUAACGUGUGUGAAACUGUUUCUCAUUUGGUUUCCUUGCCCCCAAAAGCUCCACAAGGUAUCCUGGAAGACACAACCUGCUGCACAGGCGUCACUGAGGGGCCCAUUCGUUUUAGUAACCUGAGGAGUUUCUACAGGACCUCUCCGGGGUGUAGGAGACGCGCCGUGGUCUGUGUGCUGAACUCCAGCUGCUGGAAUCCAGUAGUGGGAGUGUAUUUGUAUGUGAUGAGGCAUGUUGGGACAGGAGGUGCUGCAUGAGCUAGAGACUGUUUUAACGAAGAAGUUGUCAAAGCAUUGCCUGCUGGCUUGGGAUGAAGAAACACUGCACUAGCUGUG